GAAAUAUUAAUGCAUGCUAUAAUAUGGAUGAGCCUUGAGUACAUUAUGCUAAGUGAAAUAAGCCAGUCACAGAAGGACAAAUACUUCUGGUUCCACGUAUAUACCUGGAAGUAUAUACCACGUAUAUACCAUGUAUAUACCUGAAGUAGCCAAGCUCAUAGACGCAGAAAGUAGACUAGGUAUUGCAGGGACAAUUUAAAAAACAAAACAAGCCAUAAGCCAGAUUUAACCUGUAGGCUAAAAGUUUGCCUGGUGUUGUGGUAGACUAAGCCCUACUAUAUUGGUAUUGCAUUAAAUAUAAAUGGGCUAAACACCCCAAUGAAAAGACAAAAGAUUGUCACACCAAAUAACAAAAUAUGACCAUAAAAUACGUUUAUACACAAA